GAAUGGGGUGUAGAGCCAGGGGGAAAACACAAAAUAAACCACCUGCUACUAGAAACAGCCUCGCUGUCCUCAGGGAGCCGGUCCCGGGGCCAGCCUCGCUGUCCUCAAGGAGUCGAUCCCGGGGCCAGCCUCGCUGGACUCAGAAAGUCGGUUCCAGGACCCCAUGGACACCAAAUCCAGGCACAUUCAAGCCGCACAGGUGGACCUGCCGAACCUGCGUGUACAAAGAGUCGGCCCUCCGACACGCGUUUCACAUGGCAGGAACACUGUAUUUUCUGCGUGUACAAAGAAUCAGCCCUCCGACAUGCGUUUCACGUAGCAGAACACUGUAUUUUCUCCCUGAGUUUGGUUGAAAAAAUCCACCUAUAAGUUGACCCGCAAAGCUCAAGCUUGUGUUGGACAAGAGUCAACUGUAUGCAAUUGACACUGAUUCCUACCAACAAUAUCCAAAUCUUACCAUGACCAGCACGAUAAACAGAAUGAGCAAAAUUUAAAAACUAAAGCAGAGUUUUUUCCUGCGAGUUGGCGCACUGCGUAUCCCCUGUGGGAAAGACCACACUGGCUGCUGACCAAACUCCACCGGCCUCUUCCUCCGUCCUGAGGGCAUCUUCCUCCAUCCUGACAGCAGCCUGGGCUCACCUCAGUCCCAGGGCGGGGAAGGGGGACGCACUGUGCACCCUCCCAGCUCUCCUCCGCCCCUUCUCUCAGGCUGGCCCAAGAGCAGCCUGGACAGUCACGUGCUGGGGACACCGCGCUGCCCCUCCUCCGCCCACAGCCUCAGGCCACCUGUCUCAUCUGUGACUGAGAAAUAGAGCUGCAGCUGGAGGCGGGAGGCGGGACACGCUGGGAUCUACCCAUGGCUGGGAUCUACCCAUGGCCAGGCCGAGCUGCUCGGAUCACUCAAACUUCACUUUCGUCACUCGCUCUACCAAAUAGACUAGAAUAAAAUACGCCGCGUCCUCCUUUCCACACACUCCCAAGCCUCCCAUCCCACUUCCCGGCGCUGGCCCCAUAAGAACACUUUGUGCGUCUUUCCAGGUAUUUUCUAUCCUCCUCAAGCACAGAACCACAUUCAGAGUGAAUUUUUCUUUUUUCUUUUUUUUAACAGAAAUGGCACCAGGGCAGAUGAUGAUUUUUUUGUAUCAUUUCUUUACUUUCUUGGGCAUUUUCCGCACCAGGACAGAUGGGUUCUGCUCUCCUUCCUCCCCGCCCAAAGCUGCCUCACAGCAGCCACACACAGAGCCGUAAACCCUCGCAAGACUGUGGGUGUCUCGGGGUGCCCCACGUCCCCAAAGACCAAGGGUCACAGAUCCACAUUGUCCAACAACACUUCAGACAUGGCCUCGAGCCUGGGAACCCUGCUGGCCAGCCCAGGCCAGCCCCAGAAUAGAGGUGUGAGGUGUAACAUCUGCACUUCUUAAAAAAAAAAAAAA
rnacentral:lncRNA from 1 species